rnacentral:lncRNA from 1 species
GUUCCCUCAGUGUUAUGCACCCUACACGAUAUAUUCUAGCUGGAGGUAAUUGCAGUGGGAGGUUACAUGUUUUUAUGCACCAAGAAACCUGAGUUAUGGGGUAGGGUCAACAAACUGUUCCAAUUGCUCUGUAGCUAAGGAACCUAGAGACUUGUUGGACUCAACUUCGUGCAUCUGUCUGGUCAUGUGGCAUACUUAGUAAAUAGAGCAUUGCUUUCCCAGGGAGACCUCCAUGCAGAAUGUGCUAAGAUGUUCCAGUGCACUUGUCCGCUUCCAGCACUUCUAAUUAGGCUGUACUUUUCAAAAUUCUAACAUUCUAAAGCUUUCAGUGGUCAUUAUUAACCUUUUGUGGCAUAAUGAGACCAUUUUGAUGCAAUAGUAAUCUGUAGAUCUGUGAUUUACUUAGUUUGGGGUAAAUAUUUAUUUCUCAACACUGGACUAGGUCCUAAAAGGUCAUCUAAUUAUGAAACAUUAUUGAACUGCAGAGACUGUCCCAUGUUUGACAAGUAUUCUGCUGACUCAUACCCCACCUUUGAAACUUAAAUGGUUGUUUUGCUUUGUUCUUGAGACUGGAUCUUGCUAUGUACCCGAGGUUAGCUUUGAACUUAGUCCUUCUGCCUCACUUUUCCAAGUGCUAGGACUGUAGGUAUGUAUUACAUGCCCAGCCAGAACUUAGUUUCAUAAGCUAAGAGCUGUUUUUGAGUCCUUGUAUCUCAGUUCAGU